CUUAAAAGGAUACAUAUGGAAGAAUACAAAGAAACAUUGAAAGACAAAGUGAUAAAGAAUGAAGAAAUCAGAAGUAGGAGGACAUACACAGUGACUACAACUAUUAAAAACAGUCAACACCCACAUGAUUAUAAAAUAUAAUAACAAGCAAACUUUACAAGUACAAGAAUUGAAAAGAGACCAGGAGACACUGACAUUACCUGGAUUCCAGGCACUUCCUUGCCUGCCCUGACCUCUAAGACAUGUCAGUUCAAAGAAGCUUUGGUUGAUCCUUUGGAUUUUGGUCUCUGACAGUGGGCUGUUUCCUAGCAUUGGUCCAUCCACCUGCCUACUGACAACUGUCUGGCUUGUUCUUGAUCUUGACUCCAGCAGUCUCCUUCGCUCUGCCCAGAUAACCAAGACGACAGCACAUGGCUCAUCUCACACUUCCCAACUUGUCGAAGUCAAGCCCAGAUCUCUUCCUGGAUUUCCUGGUCACCCCUCUGAAGAGUUUAGUCCAACUUCCAUCCCCACCCCAGUACACCAGUGAUGGGGAAUUUAGAUUUGAUGUGCCAGGAGAUGGAGAGCCAUUGAAGAUUGUUGAGUAGGAGAGGUGAGAAGUCAAAAGACAUAAAGAUCAGCAACCACAGGGGUUCAGAAACUAAAGAAUUAAGUGAGAGGCAAGGGUGGUGGUGGCCAACUGGGAUGCAAAAUGAAGGAAUGUAAACAACAACAGAAGCAAAAAUAUUAAUAGAUAGCUGACGUUUCUUUAGCACUUAAUUUGCAAUGUUUGCUUUACACAACUUAUUGCAUUUGACCCUCAUAACAACCCUGUGAUGUACGUACUACAAUAUAACUUUAAUGCAUUGUUAUACCAUCAAUUUGGCUACUUCCCCCACUGGGGUAGAUUGCAACCCAUUUACACCAUCUCAUCCUGUGAGAUGCUUGUCUUUAUGCUCCCAGUGACUAGGAAUCUUCCUUUAUGUGGCUAUCAGUCAAGCACAUGAUCUGUCUACAGAUUCUCCCUUAUUCUCACUAUAUGACCAGCCUGCUUUACACAUCAUACAUAUCUCUGAUGACAUACUCUAUACUGCCUCUUCUAUAAAAUUCUUCAUUCCA